rnacentral:pre_miRNA from 1 species
UUAACCCAAUUUUCUAUGGAGUGAGAACGUUUGUCUACGUUCACCGCUAGGGGCGCUGCUCCAACUGCAUACAAAUUUGAGUUA